UACGUAGGGGGCAAGCGUUAUCCGGAUUUACUGGGUGUAAAGGGAGCGUAGACGGCCAUUCAAGCCAGAUGUGAAAGCCCGGGGCUCAACCCCGGGACUGCAUUUGGAACUGUAUGGCUGGAGUGUCGGAGGGGCAGGCGGAAUUCCUAGUGUAGCGGUGAAAUGCGUAGAUAUUAGGAGGAACACCAGUGGCGAAGGCGGCCUGCUGGACGAUGACUGACGUUGAGGCUCGAAAGCGUGGGGAGCAAACAGG
rnacentral:rRNA from 1 species